AUUGAACGCUGGCGGCAUGCUCUAUACAUGCAAGUCGAACGGUAACAGGCCGCAAGGUGCUGACGAGUGGCGAACGGGUGAGUAAUGCAUCGGAACGUGCCCAGUCGUGGGGGAUAACUACUCGAAAGAGUAGCUAAUACCGCAUACGAUCUAUGGAUGAAAGCGGGGGACCGUAAGGCCUCGCGCGAUUGGAGCGGCCGAUGUCAGAUUAGGUAGUUGGUGGGGUAAAGGCUCACCAAGCCAACGAUCUGUAGCUGGUCUGAGAGGACGACCAGCCACACUGGGACUGAGACACGGCCCAGACUCCUACGGGAGGCAGCAGUGGGGAAUUUUGGACAAUGGGCGCAAGCCUGAUCCAGCAAUGCCGCGUGCAGGAAGAAGGCCUUCGGGUUGUAAACUGCUUUUGUACGGAACGAAACGGCUCUGGUUAAUACCCGGGGCUAAUGACGGUACCGUAAGAAUAAGCACCGGCUAACUACGUG
rnacentral:rRNA from 1 species